rnacentral:misc_RNA from 1 species
GCACAAUUUCCUGGAACCUGAGUCACAACUGUGAAUAAGUCCGAGGUCAAGAGAUCAAAUUCACAAGUACAAAAAGAACUGAAAGCUCUUUAUCAUUCCAAUUUUUGAACCUCUAAGUGCCUGUCUUCCAGCAAUAUGAAAAUAACGCUUGCAUAUGAGUAAGGCUCUCAGGGAAUUUCUUAGCAGGUAAAAAGACAAGCAAAG